GGAAAAAUGGGGGCCAAUGUUGGGAAAGCAGAGACAGCAGGAGGAGGUAGACAUGGCUCAGGUACCAACGCCCAGCAGCUAGACAUGACAUGCAUGACAGCUGCAGCAUCAGCCUGGAGCUUAAAAAAUAAAAGGGGGCAGAGGCUUGAGGUGCUUUGCUCCUACUCGGUCCUAAGUGAGGCCACCUGGUGGACAGAGGCGGCAUUACAGCCAGAGGGAGCAGCGCAGCCUGAAGAAGGAACAGGUGAUGAUGCAACCGCAAGUAUUAUUUACACCAACUCAGGGCCAUAAGGAGAACAUUGGGUUCCACCACACAUACAAUAGUCUGGAUGAAGCUAGGGCCAGUGCCCAUGAAUCAGUCUAUGAUUCAGGCUGUGGUCCAAAGAAAUACCCUCAUGCAAUCAUGCUACUGGAAAAGUACUAGGACCUCUUAUCAGCAAAGAAGGUAAUUAUUAUUUGCCUCAGGAUAUUUCUCCUAACCAGGUGCCUGGCACCGACACCCUGGCCGAGGCCCCAGUUAGGCCCAGUCUUAAGGCCUUGCUUUUCUCCAGGCCGCCGGUGCACUUAUGCCAAGGAUCAGCCCAUAUGGGCCACCAUGAUGCAGGGCUCCCACUGGGUCGCACAGGUGGUAACAAAUGCAUAGGGCCAGUCUCUGGGCAAAGCCAAGAAAACUUAUCUCAGCAGCCCAGGCUGGUGUUUUUCUUCACCCUCGGUGAGGUAGGAGACCCUCCCAAUCUCAGGAUAUUAUGUUGCCUUUGGGUCACAAGCUUUCCCAACAAGGUGUUUAUUUGCACACAGCUGUGUGUAGUAGGCAGAACAAAGGGCAGACUCUAUUUAUAGGUCAUCGAGAACAUUAGCUGAGGAAAAAAAAAAGGUUUCUUAAAUCAGCAGCUUAAUUGAUACUGGAAUUCCCUGAUAAAGUAAUCUGCCCUCUGUGCCACACAGAGCUUUCUUGGCCCCGGGAAGAGUCUCUCAGAC
rnacentral:lncRNA from 1 species